rnacentral:lncRNA from 1 species
AUUGACUGCAAAAUGUUUCUUAACACCUACCUGAAAAUGUAGGUGCCUUUCAUUCACAUGGAGCCUAUGCUGCAUGAUGUUUCCUUCUGUCAGUAACUUUUGGCAAAGGCCUUCAGGUGAGGAUAGACUUGAGAAGUGCCCUGAAGCUGCCCGAAACCUGAUACUUCCUUCCUGGCAGGAUUAGAGUUGCACUGUCAAUAACACGUCAGUGCAAAAUGUAGGCAGCCGUGUUUACAAAAUUAACAAAUGGACUUCAAGUUAAGCACGGGGCAAUUUGUGAGGCAGUCUUGACCAGCUUACUGAGAUUACUUAUAGGUUGAGAUAGUUUUUCUCCACUGCGUUCCAUGCAGUUGUUCUGGAAAGGAAUAGCAAAGCUGUGCAAGGCUUCACGAUGAACAAACUUCUUCCUGUAAAGGCAAGACCCUGCCAAAAUAAAUAGGGACUGCAGCAAAUGGUACAGAUGGUCAUUUCUUUCAAGUAAUGGAAAUGUCAAAUAUAAUCAGACGUAAAAGGAAGGUUGGGUCCUGCUUUCAGGAACAUGUAAGCAGUGCUUGGGCAGGAGAAAAGCAGUCGGCAGCCCCACUUAGCCAUGGUAAUUAUACAGAGAAGUCACCUCUGGGGGAUCCAUCACAGUGGAAGACUGCCUAAAGGAAACAGACAGUACUGUUCAUCCUCAAGAAGCCACAAGACUGAUGUAAGAAAACAGAGAUGGGAAAACACAUUAACUAACAGGCAUAAUCCUUUGAUGAGAAAACCUUGAUGGUAUUUUAGAAGAGGAAGAAAAUCCAUCUCUGCAGAGUCACUGGAGACUCUGGCUAUUACUAAUUGAUUCUACACGGAGAGCACACAGUGGGGACAGCCUUCAGUCUGAAGUGGUAAGACAAAGGACUUCCGACCUGCUUUGAAGUAUUGUGUGUGGAAGCUAUUGGAAGUUUAAAAAGUUUCUCUGUGCCUGCACGGGUCUUCUGUUGGGAGUGUUAAGGAUGGA